UACGAAGGGUGCAAGCGUUACUCGGAAUUACUGGGCGUAAAGCGUGCGUAGGUGGUGCGUUAAGUCUGUCGUGAAAGCCCCGGGCUCAACCUGGGAAUGGCGAUGGAUACUGGCGCGCUAGAGUGCGGUAGAGGAGAGUGGAAUUCCCGGUGUAGCAGUGAAAUGCGCAGAGAUCGGGAGGAACAUCAGUUGCGAAGGCGGCUCUCUGGACCAGCACUGACACUGAGGCACGAAAGCGUGGGGAGCAAACAGG
rnacentral:rRNA from 1 species